AUUUAGAAGAUUAAAAGCGAUAAUGGAACAUAGUUCAAGAAUGCUCAAAUUGAAUAAUUUUUAGGAAGAGGGAAUCAAACAUGAGUUCUCCUCUUCCUAUACAUCGCAACAAAAUGGUGCGAUAGAUAGUAAGAAUCGAACUCUUAUGGAUAUGGUGAGGACCAUACUUGAAGAAUACAAGACUUCAGGUCGAUUUUGGGCGAAGGCAGCUAACAUGACGUGCUACACCAUCAACCGGUUAUAUCUUCACCGAAUUCUCAAGAAAACAUCCUAUGAACUUCUUAUCUUAUUGAUAAAAUCCUAAUAUUUCAUACUUUAGCCUUUGGGAGUAAAUGCUUUAUUCUUGUUAAGGGUAGAAACUCUAAAUUUGCUCCUAAAACUGUAGAAGGCUUUUUUACUUGGUUACGACUCAAACAUAAGGGCAUAUAGUCUUCAACAAAUCCACUAGAUUAGUUGAAGUGUCUUAUGAUGUUGUGUUUGAUGAUACUAAUGGUUCUCAAGUAGAGCAAGUUGAUCUUAAUGAGCUAGAUGACGAGGAGGCUCCCUGCACCAUGCUAAGGAACAUGUCCAUCGAGGAUAUGUGUCCACAAAAGCCACAGGAGUCAACACAAGCACAAGAUCAACUAUCAUCCUCCACAAAAGCAUCUCCUCCAACUCAGGAUGUGAGCAAGCCCAAGAAGAUAAUGAACUAGUUCAAGAUCAAGAUCAAGACCAAGCUCAAGAUGAUGGCAUACAUCAAGGGGUGAUGAAGAAGAAGAUAAAGAAAUGGAGGAUGAGUAGGAGAUUUAGGCAACAAAAGCGCCACACCCAAGAGCCAAUCAGCAAUUCAAAGGGAUCACCCCAUCGAGAUGAUCCUAUCCAAAAGGGGUAACCUGCAUCACACAUGAAGUGCAUAUGCUCUCCUUGGCUUCUCGUCAAAUAAACGAGAAAAGAUAAGCUUUAUCUGCUUGCAUUGCAUGUGUGACCAAUCAUGCAACCACCACAAGCGCUUCCUCCUAUAAUGCACCAGUUUGCAACCACCAUGACCGCUUCCUUCUAUAAUUCACCAGUUUUGACCGUAGUCCUGCGCACGAAGCGUAUAAAUUUGUUCCCCUCCAUCACUUCUCGCAUAACAAACUAGAUAAGAUAAGACUUAUCACUUGCUUGCAAGCAUAACCAACCAUGCAACCACCACGAGCGCUUCCUCCUCCUCGUUGUUGUCAUCGUAUAUUAAUCCACAACUUCCCAUCAUCCCAUCCACCGACUCACCAGCCAUUGCCGUCAUGUCCCACCUGUCGUGCUGCCUUUAUCUCCUCCAUCGACAAUCCCCUUGAAGAGUUGGGUUUUGUAUUGGUUCUUUGUAAAUAAUUUAUUAGAUUUUGAGAUAUAUCUUUUUCAUUUUAUGUAAUUGUUGUGCCUUAGAUUUUCAUUGAAUAUUUAUGUGCCCUCAGAAUGCACAGGCAUUGUACUAGACUCCUUUAAAGCAUCGGUUUCAUACAUCGCACGUCGUGCGUCAUGUGUGAAGUGCGUUGGUCGGUUCAUCUCCCCUGCUUCUCGCCUACUAAUGGAUUAUUACACCAUAGAUGGGUCAUGAGAGAAACCACCCAAGCCCAACAUGACAGGAAGCCACACACAACACAACGCUUAUACAUAGUAACACUUCGCUAACUGAAGGAGGACCUCACCAACCAAUGGGUCGUUAUGCCGCAAAUUAGUCGUAAGCAACUGUCGGGGACCAUAAUUAGAGGUACCCUCAAGGCUCCUAAUUUUCAGCUGGUAACCCCCAUCAGCAUAAAGCUGCAAAGGCCUGAUGGGUGCGAUUAAGUCAGGGAUCAGUCCAUUCGAGGGACUCGAUCACGCCUCGCCCGAGCCUAGCCUCGGACAAGGGCAGCCGACCCCGGAGGAUCUCCGCCUCGCCCGAGGCCCCCCUCCAGCGGCGAACAUAUUUCCGGCUCGCCCGAGGCCCUGUCUUCGCCAAGAAGCAACCCUGACCAAAUCGCCGCACCGACCGACCAAAUCGCAGGAGCAUUUAAUGCAAAGGUGGCCUGACACCUUUAUCCUGACGCGCGCCCCUCAGCCGAUAGAGCCGAAGUGACCGUCGUCACUUCGCCGCUCCACUGACCGGUCUGACAAAAAGACAGCGCCGCCUGCGCCGCUCCGACUGCGGAGCCACUUGACAGAGUGAGGCUGACAGGCAGUCAAGCCCCGCCGCAGGCACCAUAGGAAGCUCCGCUCCGCCCGACCCAGGGCUCGGACUCGGGCUAAGCCCCGGAAGACGGUGAACUCCGCUCCGCCCGACCCAGGGCUCGGACUCGGGCUAAGCCCCGGAAGACGGCGAACUCCUCUCCGCCCGACCCAGGGCUCGGACUCGGGCUAAGCCCCGGAAGACGGCGAACUCCGCUCCGCCCGACCCAGGGCUCGGACUUGGGCUCAGCCCCAGAAGACGACGAAUUCCGCUCCGCCCGACCCAGGGCUCGGACUCGGGCUAAGCCCCAGAAGACGGCGAACUCCGCUCCGCCCGACCCAGGGCUCAGACUUGGGCUUAGCCCCAGAAGACGACGAACUCCGCUUCGCCCGACCCCAGAACUCGAACUCCACCCUGGCCUCAGCCAACGGCCUCCGCCUCGCCCGACCUAGGGGCUCGGACUCGAUCUCGACCUCGGAGGAGCCUCUACAUCGCCCAACCUAGGGCGUGGGCCGGCCACGUCAACGGGAGGCGCCAUCAUUACCCUACUCCAAGCUGACUCAGGCUACGGGGAACAAGACCGGCAUCCCAUCUGGCUCGCUCCGCCAGAUAGGCAAUGAUGGCGCCCCGCACGCUCCCUGAUGAUGGCGGCUCUCGGCCCCCUUACGGAAGCAAGAGGACGUCAGCAAGGACUCGACAGCCCCGACAUUUGUCCCUCCGCCAGGCUCCAGCGCUCCUCCGACGGCCACGACAUCACACAAACCGGGCGCCAAAACCUCUCCGGCCGCCACGAUGGCAUGUACUUAGGGUGCUAGCUCUCCUCCGCUAGACACGUAGCACUCUGCUACACCCCCCAUUGUACACCUGGAUCCUCUCCUUACGCCUAUAAAAGGAAGGAUUAGGGCCCUCUUAGAGAGGGUUGGCCACACGGGGACGAGGACGAGACAGGCGCUCGCUUGGAGCCGCUCGCUCCCUCUCCCGCGUGGACGCUUGUAAUCCUCUACUGCAAGCGCACCCGACCUGGGCGCGGCACGAACACGAAGGCCGCGGGAUUCCCACCUCUCUCACGCCGGUCUCCGGCCACCUCACUUCCCCCCUUCGCGCUCGGCCUCGCGUCGACCCAUCUGGGCUAGGGCACGCGGUGACAUUCACUCGUCGGCUUAGGGACCCCCCGGUCUCGAAACGCCGACAGUUGGCGCGCCAGGUAGGGGCCUGCUGCGUGUUGACGAACAGCUUCCCGUCAAGCUCCAAAUGGGCAGUCUCUAGCAACCUCUCCGGCCCGGGACGGUGCUCCGUUUCGGGAGCCUUGAGUUCAUGUCCCUCGACGGCAGCUACGACAUGAUACUCCUUCCACCGCCGUGCGACAGCGACAAUGGCGGCCGACAGCCCGCCCGCCGGCGGCGGAAUCGACGACGUAUUCCCCGCGUGGUGGAAGAACAACAUUCGAGCUCACCCCGUCCUCUCCCCCGCCGACGGAGGAGGAGGCGGGGCAACCAAGGCCAAGCAGGAGGCAGCGCCUCGUCGGCUGUCGAGCGAGUCGACGGCGCCAGCGCCUCAGCGGGGGGCGCGUCGGGCAUCGACCUCGCGCUUGAGACGAAGACGAGCGCUGUCUCCCCACGACACGCCAAUCCCGAGCAAACGGACGACGCCAGCACGCUCGCGGAAGGCUUGCUGAGUGUCACCCUCGUACCCGAGACGACGGUGCAGUCAGUCCCCGACGUGACUUCAUCACCGCCCGUCGACCAAGAGGUACCGACCGAUUCCCAUCCCACGCCUUUCGGAUUCAGCCUCGACCCGCCUAGCGGCUUCGCUUUGGCGGACGCUCCCGCAGAGGCGAGUCCGAACACUCUGGGGCUUCGUAUGCGGUCACCUUGGGACCGGCUGACGGACGUCUCGACCUACGGGCCCUCCGGGUCCGAGGAAGACGACGAGCCCAGCUUCUGUUGGGAUUUCUCUAGACUUGGCAACCCCAGUGCCAUGCGGGACUUUAUGACCGCAUGCGACUACUGCCUUUCCGACUGUUCCGAUGGUAGCCGUAGCCUCGGCGACGAGGACUGCGGCCCAAGCCGCGAAUGUUUCCACGUCGAUCUAGGGGGUCCCUCCGAAGGCAACCAUCUCGGCAUGCCGGAGGACGGUGAUCUCCCUAGGCCGGUGCCUCGUGUUGACAUCCCACGGGAGCUAGUUGUGGUCCCCGUUCCGGCGGGGGGUCACGACCCACAGCUCGAGCAAACCCGCGGGGUGCACGCCAGGCUCGACGAGGGAGCAGGAGCGCUUAAGCCAAUCCGCCGGGACGUCGGGCAGGCAUGGGCGGGCCAACCUUCGGCCGAAGAAAUGCGUCAUCUACCCCAGGGCUUCCAGCACCGCAUCACCGACGAUGUCAGGGUUAGGCCGCCACCCGCAUCCAGUGGGGUCAGCCAGAACCAGGCAGCAGCAGCAAUGCUCCUCCGCGCGAUGCCGGAGCCAUCAACCACCGAGGGGCGGCGAAUCCAGGGAGAGCUCAAGAAUCUCCUGGAAGGCACCACGGUCCGACGGGCCGAGAGCUCCGCCUCCCGAAGGCAGGGGCACCCCUCGGAACAUCAUGCUGCGACUUCCUGAUUCAUGCGGGAAGCCUCGGUCUACACCGGGCGCACGCGCAACACAGCGCCUGCGGCCCCGGGUCGCCUCAGCAACGAGCACCAUCACCGCGACCGUCGGGCCCACCUCGACGAGAGGGUGCGCCGAGGCUACCACCCCAGGCGUGGGGGACGCUACGACAGCGGGGAGGAUCGGAGUCCCUCGCCCGAACCGCCCGGUCCGCAGGCCUUCAGCCGGGCCAUACGACGGGCGCCGUUCCCGACCCGGUUCCGACCCCCGGCUACUAUCACAAAGUACUCGGGGGAGACGAGACCGGAGCUGUGGCUCGCGGACUAUCGGCUGGCCUGCCAACUGGGUGGAACCUCCGAAGCUGCCGACAGCAGCCGGGAGAGUCUCUCCAGGACUACAUCCAGCGAUUCUCGAAGCAGCGCACCGAGCUGCCCAACAUCACCGACUCGGAUGUCAUCGGCGCGUUCCUCGCCGGCACCACCUGCCGCGGCCUGGUGAGCAAGCUGGGUCGCAAGACCCCCACCAGGGCGAGCGAGCUGAUGGACAUCGCCACCAAGUUCGCCUCCGGCCAGGAGGCGGUCGAGGCUAUCUUCUAGAAGGACAAGCAGCCCCAGGGCCGCCCAUCGGAAGAUGCCCCCGAGGCGUCAACUCAGCGCGGCGCCAAGAAGAAGGGCAAGAAGAAGUCGCAAGCGAAACGCGACGCCGCCGACGCGGACCUUGUCGCCGCCGCCGAGUACAAGAACCCUCGAAAACCCCCUGGAGGUGCCAACCUCUUCGACAAGAUGCUCAAGGAGCCGUGCCCCUACCACCAGGGGCCCGUCAAGCACACCCUUGAGGAGUGCAUCAUGCUUCGGCGCCACUUCCACAGGGCCAUGCCACCCGCGGAGGGUGGCCGGGCCCGCGACGACGACAAGAAGGAAGAUCACCAGGCAGGAGAGUUCCCCGAGGUCCGCGACUGCUUCAUGAUCUACGGUGGGCAAGCGGCGAACGCCUCGGCUCGGCACCGCAAGCAAGAGCGUCGGGAGGUCUGUUCGGUGAAGGUGGCGGCGCCAGUCUACCUGGACUGGUCCGACAAGCCCAUCACCUUCAACCAAGCCGACCACCCCGACCAUGUGCCGAGCCCAGGGAAAUACCCGCUCGUUGUCGACCCCGUCAUCGGCGACGUUAGGCUCACCAAGGUCCUCAUGGAUGGAGGCAGCAGCCUCAACAUCAUCUACGCCGAGACCCUCGGGCUUCUGCAUAUUGAUCUGUCCUCGGUCCGGGCAGGCGCUGCGCCUUUCCAUGGGAUCAUUCCCGGGAAGCGCGUCCAACCCCUCGGACAACUCGACCUUCCCGUCUGCUUCGGAACACCCUCCAACUUCCGAAGGGAGACCCUGACGUUCGAGGUGGUCGGGUUCCGAGGAACCUACCACGUGGUACUAGGAAGGCCAUGCUACGCGAAGUUCAUGGCCAUCCCCAACUACACCUACCUGAAGCUCAAGAUGUCGGGCCCCAACGGGGUCAUCACCGUCGGCCCCACGUACAAACACGCGUUCGAAUGCGACGUGGAGUGCGUGGAGUACGCCGAGGCCCUCGCCGAGUCCGAGGCCCUCAUCGCCGACCUGGAAAGCCUCUCUAAGGAGGUGCCAGGCGUGAAGCGUCAUGCCAGCAACUUCGAGCCAGCGGAGACGGUUAAGUCUGUCCCCCUCGAUCCCAGCAGCGAUGCCUCCAAGCAAGUCCGGAUCGGCUCCGAGCUCGAUCCCAAAUAGGAAGCAGUGCUCGUCGACUUUCUCCGCGCGAACGCCGACGUCUUCACGUGGAGUCCCUCGGACAUGCCCGGCAUACCGAGGGAUGUCGCCGAGCACUCGCUGGACAUCCGAGCUGGAGCCCGACCCGUCAAGCAGCCUCUGCGCCGAUUCGACGAGGAGAAGCGCAGAGCCAUAGGCGAGGAGAUCCACAAGCUAAUGGCGGCAGGGUUCAUCAAAGAGGUAUUCCAUCCCGAAUGGCUUGCCAACCCUAUGCUUGUGAGAAAGAAAGGGGGGAAAUGGCGGAUGUGUGUAGACUACACUGGUUUUAACAAAGCAUGUCCGAAGGUUCCCUACCCUCUGCCUCGCAUCGAUCAAAUCGUGGGUUCCACUGCUGGGUGCGAAACCCUGUCUUUCCUCGAUGCCUACUCAGGGUAUCACCAAAUCAGGAUGAAAGAGUCCGACCAGCUCGCGACUUCUUUCAUCACACCCUUCGGCAUGUACUGCUAUGUCACCAUGCCGUUCGGCUUGAGGAAUGCGGGCGCGACGUACCAGCGGUGCAUGAACCAUGUGUUCGGCGAACACAUUGGCCGCACGGUCGAGGCCUACGUCGAUGACAUCAUAGUCAAGACGAAGAAAGCCUCCGACCUCCUUUCCGACCUUGAAGUGACAUUCCGAUGCCUCAAGGCGAAAGGCGUCAAGCUCAAUCCCGAAAAGUGUGUCUUCGGGGUGCCCCGAGGCAUGCUCUUGGGGUUCAUCGUCUCCGAGCGGGGCAUCGAAGCCAACCCGGAGAAGAUCGCAGCCAUCACCAGCAUGGGGCCCAUCAAGGACUUGAAAGGCGUACAGAGGGUCAUGGGAUGUCUCGCGGCUCUGAGCCGCUUCAUCUCACGCCUCGGUGAAAGGGGUCUACCUCUGUACCGCCUCUUAAGGAAGGUCGGGUGCUUCACUUGGACCCCUGAGGCCGAGGAAGCCCUCGGGAACCUGAAGGCGCUCCUCACAAAGGCGCCUAUCUUGGUGCCCCCAGCUGCCGGAGAAGCCCUCUUGGUCUACGUCGCCGCGACCACUCAGGUGGUUAGCGCCGCGAUCGUGGUCGAGAGGCAAGAAGAGGGGCAUGCAUUGCCCGUUCAGAGGCCAGUCUACUUCGUCAGCGAGGUACUGUCCGAAACCAAGAUCCGCUACCCACAAGUUUAGAAGCUGUUGUACGCGAUGAUCCUGACACGGCGGAAGUUGCGACACUACUUCGAGUCUCAUCCGGUAACUGUGGUGUCGUCCUUUCCCCUGGGCGAGAUCAUCCAGUGCCGAGAGGCCUCGGGUAGAAUCGCAAAGUGGGCGGUGGAAAUCAUGGGCGAAGCAAUUUUGUUCGCCCCUCGGAAGGCCAUCAAGUCCCAGGUCCUAGCGGACUUCGUGGCCGAAUGGGUCGACACCCAGCUCCCAACAGCUCCGAUCCAACCGGAGCUCUGGACCAUGUUCUUCGACGGGUCGCUGAUGAAGACAGGAGCCGGCGCAGGCCUACUCUUCAUCUCGCCCCUCGGGAAGCACCUACGCUAUGUGCUACGCCUCCAUUUCCCGGCAUCCAACAAUGUGGCUGAGUACGAGGCUCUGGUCAACGGGCUGCGGAUCGCCAUCGAUCUAGGGGUCCGACUCCUCGACGCUCGCGGCGACUCGCAGCUCGUCAUCGACCAAGUCAUGAAGAACUCCCACUGCCGCGACCCGAAGAUGGAGGCCUACUGCGAUGAGGUUCGGCGCCUGGAAGACAAGUUCUACGGGCUCGAGCUCAACCACAUCGCUCGGCGCUACAACGAGACUACGGACGAGCUGGCUAAAAUAGCCUCGGGACGGACAACGGUUCCCCCGGACGUCUUCUCCCGAGAUCUGCAUCAACCCUCCGUCAAGAUCGACGACACGCCCGAGCCUGAGGCCCCCUCGGCCCAUCCCGAGGUACCCUCGGCACAGUCUGAGGCACCCUUGGCUCGGCCCAAGGCACCCUUGGUUCAGCCCGAGGUACCCUCGGCCCCCGAGGGCGAGACGCUGCACGUCGGGGGGAGCGAAGCGGGGUCACGCCUGAUCAAAACUGGCAGACCCCGUACCUACAAUAUCUCCACCGAGGAGAGCUACCCUCCGACCGAGCCAAAGCUCGGCGGGUGGCGCGGCGCGCCAAGUCGUUCGCCUUGCUGGGAGAUGAGAAGGAGCUCUACCACUGCAGCCCCUCUGGCAUCCUCCAGCGAUGCAUCUCCAUCGCCGAAGGUCAGGAACUCCUGCGAGAGAUACACUCGAGGGGCUUGCGGCCAUCACGCAGCACCUCGAGCCCUUGUCGGGAAUGCUUUCCGACAAGGCUUCUACUGGCCCACGGCGGUGGCCGACGCUACUAGAAUUGUCCGCACCUGCGAAGGGUGUCAGUUCUACGCAAGGCAGACCCACCUGCCCGCUCAGGCUCUGCAGACAAUACCCAUCACCUGGCCUUUUGCUAUGUGGGGUCUGGACCUCGUCGGCCCCUUGCAGAAGGCACCCGGGGGCUACACGCACCUGUUGGUCGCCAUCGACAAAUUCUCCAAGUGGAUCGAGGUCCGACCCCUAAACAGCAUCAGGUCCGAGCAGGCGGUGGCAUUCUUCAUCAACAUCAUCCAUCGCUUCGGGGUCCCGAACUCCAUCAUCACCGACAAUGGCACCCAGUUCACCGGCAGAAAGUUCCUGGACUUCUGCGAGGAUCACCACAUCCGGGUGGACUGGGCCGCCGUGGCUCACCCCAUGUCAAAUGGGCAAGUAGAGCGUGCCAACGGCAUGAUUCUACAAGGACUCAAGCCUCGGAUCUACAACGACCUCAACAAGUUCGGCAAGUGAUGGAUGAAGGAACUCCCCUCGGUGGUCUGGAGCCUGAGGACAACACCGAGCCGAGCCACGGGCUUCACGCCGUUCUUUCUAGUCUAUGGGGCCGAGGCCAUCUUGCCCACAGACCUGGAAUACGGUUCCCCGAGGACGAGGGCCUAUGCUGACCAAAGCAACCAAGCUAGUCGAGAAGACUCGCUGGACCAGUUGGAAGAGGCUCGGGACAAGGCCUUACUACACUCAGCGCGGUACCAGCAAUCCAUGCGACGCUACCACGCCCGAGGGGUCCGGUCCCGAGACCUCCAGGUGGGCGACCUGGUGCUUCGGCUGCGACAAGACGCCCGAGGUCGACACAAGCUCACGCCCCCCUGGGAGGGGCCGUUCGUCAUCGCCAAAGUUCUGAAGCCCGGAACGUACAAGCUGGCCAACAGUCAAGGCGAGGUCUACAUCAACGCUUGGAACAUCCAACAGCUACGUCACUUCUACCCUUAAGAUGUUUUCAAGUUGUUCAUAUACCUCGCUCCCACACAAAGUUUAGUCAUCAAGGAAGGGUCGGCCUCGCCUCGGCAAAGCCCGACCCUCCCUCGGGGGCUAAAAGGGGGGAACCCCCUCUGCGUCGAAUUUUUUCCUCGAAAAAAGAUCCUUUCUGCCAGAACGUCUUUCGUGCUUUUUGACUACUUCGAAAGUGGAUCCUGAAGACGACGGAGUACACGUAAGCAGCCAAGGCUGACCGAGCCGAGGGACUCCUACGCCUCCGGGAUACGGAUACCUCACUCAUCACCUUCUGCGAUAAGUAACUCACGUUCGGAUAAGUGAUUCCGCGGACCGAACAAGUCUUCACGUUCGGAAGCUCUUCUGCCGGAGCGAUUCUUCGAGCCUUCUCGACUGCGUCGGUGACAGAACCCCAUGGACGGGUAAGAGUGCGCGUAAGCGGCAAGGCCGACCGAGCUGAGGGACUCCUACGCCUCCGGGAUACGGAUACCUCACUCAUCACCUUCCGUGAGAAGCAACUCUCGCUCGCACAAACAAUUCUGUUACCGACAAAAAAGUCCAGAUACUCGAAACAAGAGGAAAAGAGACGCAGCUUUACAACAUGGCGAGGGUGUGUUUUGGCCUCGGCAGCCGCAGAAAACACACGCUACAAGAUAAUUCGAUCCUGUAGGCUCGGAUCUUGACGACUGAAGGGAGCAGCAGCACCCUCGCGUCGAUAACACCUUCGGCGAGGUCCGACCUAGCCUCGGACGGCGACGCGGUCCGAGGGUCUCCGCUCUGAAGGACAACGUCAUCACCAAGCCCAGGCCAUCGCCGCCAGGGUCUUCUCCGAGAAUCCGGCCCGAGCAGGCGGCUCGGUCGGUCACCCCGGGGCCUUGGCCAGCUAUCCCCCAAGGACAUCAGCCCGGCCCGAGGCCUCGGCAGAUCAAUUCAGGCGUCGGUCCCGCUAACAGACGACCCGGCCAGGCUCUGGCCGACCAGGUCUUCUUUUCGAGCCAACUCUGCCUCUGUUCGCACUGACACCGCUACCCCUGGCCUCGGCUCAUCGAAGAGCGACCGAGGGGUUCCUUUAACUAAGCAAGGGAAGCCUCGGACAACAAGGCUGACCGAGCCGUGGGACUUCUACGCCUCCGGGAUAUGGAUACCUCACUCGUCACCUUUACACGGGGCGACUCACGCUUGGUGAAGCGGUUCAGACAACCAAUAGGCGAGUCUUAGUGCUCGAAAAUAAGGAAAAAACACGGCUCCGUGCCGAAACUACAUACAUGUUCAGGCCUCGACAGCCAUAAUGAACAAAAACACUGGCAUUCAAAGUGCCAUUACAAACGGAACUCCGGUUCCACCUCCGCAGGUACGAACAACCCCACUCGAUGGGGGGGGAGCCUGCGGAGCAACGGAAGACCGACGAACGGCGCGCCGUCGCCCGCUCCGGCAGCGGCGACGACGACGACUUCUGCUCCGGGGGGCCAAACAGCGGCAGCAAUGACCUCAGGGCAGAUGCUGCCGCCAGGAGACCCCCGCCCAUGCCCAAAACUCGUGAGGCAAGGACGGGCAGAAGGCCGUAGAGUUGGAGGUCGGUCCAUGGGCGGCCCUGGCCAUCUCGUCGGCGGAAGAACCUCUUCCAGCUGCCGUGGUGGAAGCCGGCGCCGAGAGCAGCUCCGAAGCCACUCGGGUCCGAGAGCCAGGCAUGCAGCAGCUGCCAGCGCCACGGGCGACAACCGCCCUUCCCCCCGAUCACUGAGGGAAGGAGCGGGCCACCACCCACGCAGGGGCUGACCCCAACUCGGCACACUCCCCUCCCCAGCCCUGGUGAUGAAAAUCCUUGAGGCUGAGGGAGGGGCAGAGGCCGCGGCCCGGUUCGCUUUCCCCCGCCAUCAAACUGGAGGUCACCAUCUUGGGUGACCGCCGGCGGAGGGGUGCAACUGGGCUGCAUGAUGAAAAUCCUUGAAGCCGAACGAUGGCUGAAAGGUACCAACUCCCACGGAGUUGCGUUCCUCCAACGACGAGGCGGAAAGACGGCGGGUAUCCCCCAUCCGGGGGCUUGGAAGGUGGAAAGACACGAUGCAUAAGGGAGCGCGAAGACAUGGUCGCCUCCCAAGGGGGUCACCCUCCUUUUAAAGGCGACUCUCCCUACUUGCUUCCCCAGCCGUCGUGGGCUGAGUCUUCUCCAACACGCUCCAAGGUCCUCCCCUACGGUGCGGGGGCUGGGUCCCACACGUCAUGCAAGCCGGUCCAGAGCAGAAGAAGCCAAACCGCCGUGCGCGGUGCGUGCAACCGCCCAGCGGUUACAAGCGGCUCUCCACUUUUGCCCAGACCAGCAGGCGAAAAGGCGGGCAGCCAUGCAGGCGGCAUACAACGGCGCCAAGUGGGCGCACUUCUCCGACUCCCAACAUGCCCAGCAUGGAGGCCCAGGCCCACGCGUCAUGCAACCGGCGCGCCGAAUGCUUCGUGCAUGCGACUGCACCGCCACUUGCGCCACCACCGCGCCUCCUCGACUGCGGAACCAAUACCGCGACUCGAGGCGACCCAACGCACGACCCAGCAGCGCCAGCCUGGCGCGACGGUCAAUGUGGCCAAAAGUGGGCCGGCAGUAAUGGCGGUGGCAGGCGGGCAGGAGCAGCGGUCACGUCGUCAGCCAAGCUUACGUCCCAUCCGGGGGCAGCGAGAGAACCCUCUCUCACAGCGUGAAGACGACGCGUCCGUGUUCCGUUCCUCGAACGGCUCGCGCACGCGUGACGGCCGCCCCGCGAACCACUCGCCCCAUCGCAUUAACUCCGCGGCGGGACAGGCGGCGCCUCCGGCAGGAGAAGCAAGCGACGCUUCGCCUUCGCCAUAAUGACCGCGUCAAAAAAGGUACGCUGCGUCGUUCGAUUUCAUAUCCUUUUCCUUUUUUCCUCUUUCUCUCUCUUGCAACAGGGACCGGGAAAGGGGGAUACCCCGAAAAGGAUCCUUCCCCGUGAAGGAACCAGGCUCCGAGCCUCCCUACUGAUCAGAGGUUCGAAGGCUGGCCCCUCAGAAGGGUUCAACAGCCGCCUCAGAGCACGUGGGCUCCACACCCACUACUGGUCAGAGGUUCGAAGGCCGGCCCCUCGGAAGGGUUCAACGGCCGCCUCAGGCUACUCAGGCUCCGCGCCCACUACUGAUCAGGGGUUCGAAGGCUGGCCCCCGAAGGGUUCACAGCCGCCUCAGACACAGAGCGAGGGAUGACCAUGGGUACGUUCGAUACAUAACCAAGGCUCGGGCUGCGCUCCCGAGGUACCCUAGGACAUUUCCGAGACCAGCGGGAACGAUCUUGUAACGAAAUCCCAUCAGAGGGAGGCAUCGAGCCCUCGGACCCCAUCGCCAGGGGACUGGGUCCGGCAGAUCACCCGCAGGUACUUUUGGGCGCGCCUCUGGGCCUCUAGCCGACCCCUAACGAACGGGGCACGGACGUCCACUCGGAUCACCCGCCUGCAGCUCACCGGAGACACCAUGUUCGGCGCCCACCGAGGGCAACAUGGCGCUCUCCCCCCCCCCCUCCUCCUUGCGGAAAGGCGACGCAGGGGCGUAUGUAAAAAAGUCGAGUCUGUCCCUGAUCGCCCUCUCGCCCUGUGCAGAGGCUCGGGGGCUGCUCUCGCAAACCCGGCUCCGGCCACACCGUUGACAGCGUCAACAUACCAGCCCGAGAACUUGGGACCUGACCGUACACCCGGGCUACGGCCAGCUCGCAUGAGGGAACGACCAGACCAGCCGAAGCAUUGCGCGAGGCAUUAAGACCUCGGAGGAGUCAAACCACUCCUCCGAGGCCUCGGGGGCUACACCCGGCGGGUGCGCUCGCGCGCACCCACUGGAACAAAACGCAACCGAGAAAGGCUGGUCCCCAUGCAAAAAAGUGCGACGAAAGCCUCCAAGCGAGUGCUAACACUCCCUUCGAGGCUCGGGGGCUACUGUCGGGGACCAUAAUUAGGGGUACCCUCAAGGCUCCUAAUUCUCAGCUGGUAACCCCCAUCAGCAUAAAGCUGCAAAGGCCUGAUGGGUGCGAUUAAGUCAGGGAUCAGUCCAUUCGAGGGACUCGAUCACGCCUUACCCGAGCCUAGCCUCAGACAAGGGCAGCCGACCCCGGAGGAUCUCCGCCUCGCCCGAGGCCCCCCUCCAGCGGCGAACAUAUUUCCGGCUCGCCCGAGGCCCUGUCUUCGCCAAGAAGCAACCCUGACCAAAUCGCUGCACCGACCGACCAAAUCACAGGAGCAUUUAAUGCAAAGGUGGCCUGACACCUUUAUCCUGACGCGCGCCCCUCAGCCGACAGAGCCGAAGUGACCGCCGUCACUUCGCCGCUCCACUGACCGGUCUGAUAGAAAGACAGCGCCGCCUGCGCCGCUCCGACUGCGGAGCCACUUGACAGAGUGAGGCUGACAGGCAGUCAGGCCCGGCCGCAGGCACCAUAGGAAGCUCCGCUCCGCCCGACCCAGGGCUCGGACUCGGGCUAAGCCCCGGAAGACGGCGAACUCCGCUCCGCCCGACCCAGGGCUCGGACUCGGGCUAAGCCCCGGAAGACGGUGAACUCCGCUCCGCCCGACCCAGGGCUCGGACUCGGGCUAAGCCCCGGAAGACGGCGAACUCCUCUCCGCCUGACCCAGGGCUCGGACUCGGGCUAAGCCCCGGAAGACGGCGAACUCCGCUCCGCCCGACCCAGGGCUCGGACUUGGGCUCAGCCCCAGAAGACGACGAAUUCCGCUCCGCCCGACCCAGGGCUCGGACUCGGGCUAAGCCCCGAAAGACGGCGAACUCCGCUCCGCCCGACCGAGGGCUCGAACUUGGGCUCAGCCCCAGAAGACGACAAACUCCGCUUCGCCCGACCCCAGAACUCGAACUCCGCCCUGGCCUCAGCCAACGGCCUCCGCCUCGCCCGACCUAGGGGCUCGGACUCGACCUCGACCUCGGAGGAGCCUCCACAUCGCCCAACCUAGGGCGCGGGCCGGCCACGUCAACGGGAGGCGCCAUCAUUACCCAACUCCAAGCUGACUCAGGCUACGGGGAACAAGACCGGCGUCCCAUCUGGCUCGCUCCGCCAGAUAGGCAAUGAUGGCGCCCCGCACGCUCCCUGACAAUGGCGGCUCUCGGCCCCCUUACGGAAGCAAGAGGACGUCAGCAAGGACUCGACAGCCCCGACAGCUGUCCCUCCGCCAGGCUCUAGCGCUCCUCCGACGGCCACGACAUCACACAAACCGGGCGCCAAAACCUCUCCGGCCGCCACGAUGGCAUGUACUUAGGGCGCUAGCUCUCCUCCGCUAGACACGUAGCACUCUGCUACACCCCCCAUUGUACACCUAGAUCCUCUCCUUACGCCUAUAAAAGGAAGGAUCAGGGCCCUCUUAGAGAGGGUUGGCCGCGCGGGGACGAGGACGAGACAGGCGCUCGCUUGGAGCCGCUCGCUCCCUCUCCCGCGUGGACGCUUGUAAUCCCCUACUGCAAGCGCACCCGACCUGGGCGCAGGACGAACACGAAGGCCGCGGGAUUCCCACCUCUCUCACACCGGUCUCCGACCACCUCACUUCCCCCUUCGCGCUCGGCCUCGCGUCGACCCAUCUGGGCUGGGGCACGCAGCGACAUUCACUCGUCGGCUUAGGGACCCCCCGGUCUCGAAACGCCGACAGUAACCAUCCAAGUCCAACACGACAGGAAGCCACACGCAAUGCAUCGCUUCCAUGUAGUACCACCUUGCUAAAUGAAGGAGGAUGAGCGACCGAGCAAGCUAUAAAAAGGGGUCGAACUCAUUUUCAGCUCAUACCUUUCUCGAUCUUUUGUCUAAGAUAAAGUGUAGUAUUUGUUCUUAUCAGUUUUAUAUCUGAUAUGCAGAUCAUGUGUUCGCUUUAAUAUUAAAUUUAUUUUUGAUGGGUAUCAAAUAUGAUUGGAACCAUUACACCACAGAUGGGUCGUGAGAAACCACUCAAGCCCAACAUAACAUGAAGCUACAUGCGGCGCAACGCUCCCACAUAGUACAACCUUGCUAGCCGAAGGAGGACGAGCGACCGCAAGCUAUAAAAAAGGGGCCAAACUCCUUCUCAACUUAUAUUUUUCUUGACCUUUUGGCUAAAAUAAAGUGUAAUAUUUGUUCUUAUCAGUUUAAUAUUUGAUACGUGGAUCAUAUGUUCGAUUUAAUAUUAAAUUUAUUUUCAUGGGUAUCAAAUAUGAUUGUGUGAUGUCGCAAUGUACAGGCAUUGGACUAGUCUCUACUCUUUUAAUGCAUCAAUUUCGUGCGUCAUAUGCGAAGCACGUACAUCUAUAUCUAUCUCCACUUCUCGCCUAACAAUGAGUCUAAUAAGUUGUUACACCGUAUAUGAGCCAUAAGAAACCACUGUUAGAUGUAUAGCAUGUAUCUCGUAUAUAUGGUUAGGAUAGAAUUCGGCCUUCGUCUUCCGAAGGUCCUCAAAAACAUGAUUUAACAAUGUUUCCGGAGUGUAAUACAUGAACAGGUACCUUCAGACUCGGAUCAGAACCACAGUGUGAGAAGCACGAACAAUACGAAGGUUGAUGCAGGGCCGAAGCUACGCGCAAGGGAGCUUCGGCAUGACAGCAGGAAAGGGAACCGACUUAAAGGGGAAAAGGCUAUUUAGACCUCGAUGAAUUACCUUAAAGUCAUUAGCAAAUGUAAAGGGCAUGGAUGUAAUUUCACAUGGGCUGCGCCCCGUGCCUAUAAAUAGAUGAACAGUACUCCCGUACUGUUCACGAUGACUUGGCAUUUACUUUUGCGUCACGCUCGUACCUUUGUUUUCUGUCAAGCCGAAGGUACCAAAUGUUAUUCAAUAUUGUCCUUAUAUACUGAGAAAUAUAUAUGAUAAUGUUAUUGUUCACAUUGUUUCUUAUGCUUUACAUGCUCCAUUCGUUGUUAAUAUUCGUACAUAUAUGUAUGUUGAGAUGAUGAAGGUAUGUCCUUCAUGACCUUCGUCCGAAGAUCAUUAUAUCCUUGAGGAAAUAAUGCUUCGAAGGACGAAGGGCAUUAACAAAUAACUUGUUUUGGUGUUGCCUUGUUCUCAAUUUAUAGCAUUUGAGAGCAAGUUCCCAACAUUGGCGCCCACCUCCGGUGAACCCUCUUUUCGACCACCUUCGGCAAGCACUGACCUUCGUCAUGCCACUGAAGAAAGCUUCAGCGACAGGGGCUGCCGCACUGCAGCCACUAGACCCGAACCAGGAGACCCUUUCUCUUCGAGAGGCCCGAAGCCAGAAGAGGAAGGCCACUAGUCCAACACUCCAGGAGGAGGAGUUGGACCAAGAAAUCAGAAACAUGGAGAUAAUCCACCAGCAAGUGCAAAGGAAGAAGGAGAAGAUGGCCCGACUGGCUGAUCUUCAGAGGCAGAUCGACGAAGCCACCAAAGAAGUACGCCAUCUUAUUCAAGACGAACAAGAUCGAAGGCCCCAACACAGGGAGCUUCAUCAAGAAGGCUUGUUCAACAACGAUGGAUGGUAUAAUGAUUUUAAUCAUGAUACCUUUACUUUUGAUGAUGCUUCUCCCUUGGCAGCAGAACUGCAGGCUAUCCCAUGGCCCCCAUCAUACAAGCCACCUCAGCUUCCCAUGUAUGAUGGGCAUUCAGACCCGAAGCAGUUUUUGAUGAGUUAUGAAGCGAAUAUAUCUUCAUAUGGAGGCAAUGCAGCUGUCAUGGCCAAGUCCUUCGUCAUGGCAGUUCGGAAUGUGGACCAAACAUGGUAUUCUUCUCUUCGGCUAGGGACCAUUACUUCGUGGCAGAAGCUCAAGGAUAUGCUGGUGACAAGUUUCCAAGGCUUCCAGAUGAAGCCAGUCACAGCUCAGGCCUUGUUUCAGUGCACGCAAGAUCAUGAGGAGUACCUCCAAGCAUAUGUCCGAAGGUUCUUGCGUCUCAGAGCACAAGCGCCUACAGUGCCUAAUGAAAUUGUCGUUGAAGCCAUGAUUAAAGGGCUUCGUCCAGGACCUACUGCUUAGUAUUUCGCUAGAAAGUCCCCACAAACUCUGGAGAAGCUACUUCAGAAGAUGGAUGAGUACAUCCGGGCUGACAAUGACUUCCACCAAAGAAGGGAGGAAGCAUAUAGGUUCUCUAAAAUGACCAGGGGCUUUGAAGGAAGAAUCCACUCGAGGCAUGUCAGGUCAAUUCACAACUCCAUCCAGAGUGAUGACAGAGGAAGUCAACAGCAGAGACCACAGUAUUCUUCGCAAGCUUCGGGACAGCAACAAAGCUCUUUCUAGCCGCUAGCUCUAAGAGGCAGAGGUGCCAGGGGCUUCGGAGGAAGAUAUGGGGACCAGCCCAGGAAGAUCUACUAUCUAUUUUGUGGUGAGGACAAGGGCCACAAUACAAGAACGUGUCAAAUCACCAUCCAAAAGAAAAAAGAAAUUGCAGAAGCCGAAGCCCAGAAAAAUCAGCCGAAGCAGGUCCUGCACACUGCUUCGUGUCAUUCACCCUACAUACCAGAAUAUGUGGGUAAUCAUCCCGCAGCUUCUGUUGCUUCGGCUAGUCAGCCGCAAGUUUCUUGGCCACAUCUUCCACCUCCGCCGCCACUACAGCCUGUCUACUCAUGAGGUCAGCAGCUAGAAGGGAGCCAACAGACCCAUCAGCAGCGAGAUUUCAGGGAGGGGUCCGAAGCUCGCACAGUUAACAGCAUUGUGCCAGAAUCAAAACACAUAUAUUGAGAGAUAUCCUACCUUUGACACAGUUUUACAUUCACUGUCGUUUUCUUUUUAAUAAUGAACAAUCAAUGUAAACCUAGUUUUCUUGCUAUUUUUUUAAUUCUCUGUAUUAGCUUCGUUUAUGUCAAAAUGAAAUAUACCUUCGUCACAGACUCACGAAGAUGCCGAAGCUACAAAGAGAUAUUCCUUCGGGAAUGCAGUGCUAAAAAUCGAGUAAAAGUUUCACCGAAGCUACAAAAAGGCGUUCUUAAAGAACGCAGCGUAAGUUUGCUGAUGCUUCAAAAAGUCGUUCCUAAGGGGGCGCAGCGUAAGUUUUCUGCUCAAAAGUCGUUCCUUAGGGAAUGCAGAGCCAAAUACCGCCGAAAUAUAAGGCGAAGCGCGAAAAGUCAACGCGAAUACCGCCGAAAUAGUAGCGCGAAGAAGUUCAAAAGACGUUCCUUAGGGAAUGCAAAACUUACACCGAAAAAUAAACGGUGCAGUCGAAAAGUAAACGGCAAAGAGAUUUCAGUCAUUCCUUAGGGAAUGAAGGUUGUGGAAGAAGCUUCGGAUGUGUGUGUUUGGGCAUUCAUUUGCACGAUACAUUAGCAUCAUUCAUUGCAUCAUAUCGCAUAGCAUCACAUCAUACAUCAUAUCACAACAAUGAUAUCAAUUGAAAACAAGGCCGAUCUUCGGGCAAUGCUUUACAAAAAAUGAAAAGAGGCCAAGGCACAAAGUAAGCUGAAAAUCACAGCUUCAUCAGUUCUGAUGCGGAAAAAGCUUUUUUUACGAAGCAUUGAUGUUUUACAAAGUACAGAUGAUUUUUACGAAGCAUAAAGGCUCUUCUUUACGAAGCAUGAAAAGAAGGGAAGGUGUUUUUUCACCGAAGGCUCAAAAACGGUAUGUACAUAAAGUUUCAUGCAUCACAAAGAACUGAAUUACAAACAAUUCAUAUAUUACAUUCAAGUACCAAAUAUUACAAGCAUAGUUCAGCAAAUGUUACAAUAAUAUUCUAGAAAUAUUUUUACAAUAGCUACUCUUCUUCCUUCAAAACUUUAUCUGCAACUUCGAUCAGCAAUUUGGUAACGACUUCGUCUACAAUAGCUUCGGCCAUAUUAAUAAUUUCUAUUGUUUUCUUUGUCUCUGGGUCGGCCAGUGGGUCGAAUGGCUCUGGGGGAGGAGAUAGUUCAGCUGCGGUAGAAGACAUGAAUUAGUUCGAAGUCACAAAAAUAAACAACAAUAAAGUUAAAAGACAUUAAGUAAUACCUAUCCGUCUUUCAAGUUCCGCAGCUUUUUCAGCUGCUUUCGCUGCUUCUCGAGUGUCAUGAAUAUCUUUUUCGCUCUUUUUCAUUAUUUCAUGGGCCGUCCCUCAGCCGCCAUUUUCCCAGAUAUUAGUGAAAAAAUUUCCGCCUAUUGAGCUUGCUUCGGUCGAGGGGUCCUUCGUAUCGUCAAUAGAGAAGGCAGCUUCGGCCUAGGCCAAGGUUUUAACAUGUUCGCACCCUGCCUUCUCCAAAAUAGCUGCAACUCCCCUCGCACCAGAAAACGCACAGACAUCCCCGCGGUAACUCAAAAUUUCUUCAAAAGCUUCGGCUUCACCGCUGAUCCACUCAAUUACGCCCUCAGGAUCGCCCCUUAUGAAGUUGUCUACGCUCGAGUACGCGCCCACGUUGGCGAAGCUAGUCUUUAUCUUUUUUACGCAUUCCACAGAUUUUUCAAAGCAUCUUUCUUUUGAUGCACGAAGCUCUGCAACUGUUUUUUCAAAAUAAUUUUUCCAGUACUCACUGACAUCUCGAUCAGCUUCGGCAACUGCGCAUUUUAAUUUAGCCUCGGCUAACUAUUUCCGAAGGUCUUCAAUUUCACUUUUCUGGGCCUCAGCUUGGGUUUUCGAACUAGUCUCGUCUUAUUUUAUUUUGCUCACCAAUGAAAUUAAUAUUUUAUCUUUUUCAACGCCUUCGUUCCUAAGUUCAAUUACUUCCGAACGAAGGUUGUUCAGGGCUAUAGUGCAUCCUUCGUAUUCGAUAUUUUUCUGUGCCUUGAGGGCAUUGCUAAGGAUCAAGCCCUGCACAAGGAGCAUAGUAUUAAGUAUAAAAAAAUGAACAAAUUCAUUUUUUAAGUACAAAAAUUGAUUUACACACCUUUAUGCUGUUAUAUGCUAAACUAUCGGCCAAUUCAUCCUUCGACAGUACUGAAAGCCCAUCUUCUAAUGUUGGGAAUCCGAAGCUUCUGCUCAUCUCCCGGUAGACAGAUAUCUCCUUGCUGUCGGGGAGACAGUAUAAGAAAUCCUCUUCUCCGCUGCCAUUGAACACUAAUGCCCCUUUUGGAUAUUUUAGUCUCUGGGCAUAGUGUUGAGCCUCUCAUUCUUCUUCUUUAGAGAGUUUCUUCCCGAAGCAUGACAGAUGAUAUAUUCAAUAUUUUCCUUUAAAACUUUGGGAGUAGGAGUGACAGUUUUCUCAGGCAAACUCUGCUCUGUAGCCUCUUCCUCUGCUGCCUUUUUCUCAAUUUCUGAAGGUUGUUUAUCAAUAGGCUCUGAAGGCUCGGCUUCGGCACUAGAUUGGCUCACUGCACCUUCAACUUCGGCCGGUCUUGUUUCAGCUUUGAUUUGUAUUUUCGAAGCCUCGGCAAUUUUCCCUGAAGGAAUAGAACUUGAAGCCUUUACCGUCUCCAACACAUCUAGCACACUGGCCAUCCUUUUUCUCUUGGGGGUCGCCGCAAGACCUUUUUGUGCCUUCAGCAUUGUCACUUCUACCGAAGGGCUUAAAACCUCUAAUGUUUUUGUCCCUUCCACUCUUGUCUCCUCAAUAUUAUCAGUCUUCGGCUCAGCUAAUUUGGUUGAGGGUGCCUUCGGCAUUGCAGCUGGCUCUUCAAUUUUCUGCGUAGGAGGAGCAGGUUCUUUUGCUUCAGCAACUGCAGAAGUUUCCCCGCUAAACUCAGGCACUGUGGCCGGUUCAAUGUAGUGCGGUCGGUGGGUAAGGACCUUCAACUUUUUCCUCUUCGGCGCAGGCUCGCUUGGAGCAGCCGAAACAGCAACCUUUCUAGAAGUUGCACCCCUUCUUUUUUGACCCCGUGGCGGGUAGCGAUAGUCAGGGUACACAAAUCCAAUAGCAUCAAAAACUCUAUUUAAUCUUUUCUUUUUUGGCUCCCGAAGGCCGCAGAUAGUGCAUUAUCUUCGGACUUGGAAUAUGCUCCAAGUAGCUCAUCGCUAGUAUUUUCAACACACUUCAGCCAGUCGUCAUCUGGUUCGACAAACUGGUCUCCAAACCUGAAGGUGUAUUUCAAUCGAACCAAACCACCUUUGCUAGGGUUAGUGAUGGUUUCUUUUGGCAUUUCCCAACUAUCUAUCGGUGGCCAUAUCCUGUAGGCUACAUGUUCUUGAACUAAGUCUCUUGUCCUAAUAAAAGAGCAAACUGUGCUGAAGGCCCUUCGGCAUGCUUCGGCUACCUCAUCAAUUUCUACCUUCGGCUUGCGGAGGCCGAAGCGGGACCAGAUGGGGCGCAUGAUGAUCUCUUUAAUGCCUUCUCUCGCCUUCAAAUCAUUUUUCACAUAGAACCACUCUUCCAUCCAGGCCCUGGGCCACCUCUUCCGAAACGUUGGCACUGGGUAGCUUGAGCCAGAGCGAGCAACGAAGCUAUAGCAACCAAAAUUGUUAUGAUAUUGUUCUUUACCCCAGGGUUUCGUCUCAUACGAAAGUUCAUGCAUACUGCAAAAGCAUCUUGCACUUGGCUCUAGACCUUGACUUCUCACAGCCCAGACAAAGAUCCCCAAUCUAAUAAUUGCUUCGGGAGUGAUCUGGUGAAGGAAAAAUCUGGUAUGUCUUUAAAACUUCAACCACAAAUCUGCUCAACGAGAACCGAAGUCCAGCUUUGAAGAAGCUUCGGAAGAUCACAACUUCGUUUUCUUCGGGAGCAGGAACGGCUCUGUCUGCGUCAGCCCUCACAAUAGACAUAUCUCAAAAAUACCUUCCUCUCAUAUUAUCAAGAUGACUCUAUUUGAUAGUUGAUUUCCUGAAGACUGCAUGACUUGGUCGCCAGGGCCGAUCUUCAGAGUCUUCGCCUCCACUUUCCAUAUCAUAGCUGUCGCUAUCAUCAGUGUCUUCAGACAAGCCUUCUAGUAUCUCUUUAGUUAUCUUCUCUAUAUUUGUUUUUGCAAUUGACUCAAUAAAUCCAGCAGUCUUCUCCUCAAGGAGCUUCUCCGCUCAGCUUCGUCUCAGCAACAACCUUUUUGUCUUGAGACAUCUUUUCUUCGGGUAUGACGAAAAUGCAUCCUUAAAACCGAAGCUUAGGUAGUCUGAGAAACUAAGCAGGCAGUGGCAAGCAAGAGCUGAAAACUGAGUAAACAAAACAAGUGGCAAGUAGCGUACCAAAUGUGCUCAGGGUGAGUUCCUAUUUAUACGAUCGAUGCGCUCCAAGUUGGAGGGUCUCGUUUGUCAUUGACUGUUGCUAUUCUAGCAAAGGGAAGGUGUUUUUUCGGACCUUCAGCUUAAGGCCUUCGUCCAUAUCGUAAUCUGAAUUCGUUAUUCUAACAAAUUAAUGUUGCGAGGGGCUACUGUUGGGGGCCUUUGUCUUCCGAAGGCCCUCAAAAACAUGAUUUAACAAUGUUUCCGGAGUGUAAUACAUGAACAGGUACCUUCGGACUCGGAUCAGAACCACAAUGUGAGAAGCACGAACAAUACGAAGGUUGAUGCAGGGCCGAAGCUACGCGCAAGGGAGCUUCAGCAUGACAGCAGGAAAGGGAACCGACUUAAAGGGGAAAAGGCUAUUUAGACCUCGAUGAAUUACCUUAAAGUCAUUAGCAAAUGUAAAGGGCAUGGAUGUAAUUUCACAUGGGCUGCGUCCCAAGCCUAUAAAUAGAUGAACAGUACUCCCGUACUGUUCACGCUGACUUGGCAUUUGCUUUUGCGUCACGCUCGUACCUUUGUUUUCUGUCAAGUCGAAGGUACCAAAUGUUAUUCAAUAUUGUCCUUAUAUUAACUUACAACUAUAUACUGAGAAAUAUAUAUGAUAAUGUUAUUGUUCACAUUGUUUCUUAUGCUUUACAUGCUCCAUUCGUUGUUAAUAUUCAUACUUAUAUGUAUGUUGAGAUGAUGAAGGUAUGUCCUUCAUGACCUUCGUCUGAAGAUCAUUAUAUCCUUGAGGAAAUAAUGCUUCGAAGGACGAAGGGCAUUAACAAAUAACUUGUUUUGGUGUUGCCUUGUUCUCAAUUUAUAGCAUUUGAGAGCAAGUCCCCAACAGGAGCUGUGUCUCCUUUAAUCUCUCCUCAAUUAUAUCUUGCUGUUACCAUCCUUGUACACGGUGAUCAUCUAUAUAAGAAGGGCCAUCGCAUCCCAUUAUGGUGCACUGCCUAUCACAAUCAACAUGGUAAUAGAGCCAACGGUUUUCUGAAUGUCCACCAUCUCCUCCACAAUAUCCUCCUCCUCCCCUGCCACCAAUUCCUCUGGGGUGCCCAUGGCUGUCAACUCCCAAUCUGCUAUGGUGUUGGAGCGAAGGCAAAGACGCCACCCUUCGCUCGAGGCCUUCGCUGCAGCCGCUGGUCCGCCGGAGGCAAAGCGGGCAGGGACACCCUUCGCAGGACUCGGCGCUUUGACGAAGGCCUGCGGCGACGACCUCACACGGCGCGGCCUCGUUCAGCCCCAAGGCCCACGUGUGAUCCGGCCCAUUGUAACGGGCCCCGCGUGGCCGCCUCUGUAUUACGGGCCUGACUUGUAAAGGCAAACUUGUAAUUACAGCUUGUAACCCUGCUUUAUGGGAAUAUUCCGGGGAUAAACUAGGCGUCUGAGGGCACAUGCGUCCUUAACACAAGACGCUGGGCACUCAGACACCUAUAAAUACCCCGCACAGUGCCCGUGAGAGGCUAGAUCAACAGAGCUAUUGCCCCCGUGCACGUAACCCUGUUGUCGCCAUUGUUCACCCCCGUUGGCCCACUUGCAGCAGAGAGCAAGUUCCAACAUUUGGCGCCCACCGUUCGUGCUACGACAAAACCACCCGCGAUGGCACCCAAGCGAGCUAACCCCAAGGCUGACGAGGCUGCGAAGGCAGCACUGCUGGCCGCAAGAAAGGGCAAGGCCCUCGCCCUCACCCAAUCCACCCACCAAGAGCCCAUUGAGGACAAUGUUCCCCACACCGGCGAAGACGACACCUUCCGCACCUGCGGAACCGAAGGACAGUCGCAGCCGCCCCCAGGCUUCGCCCCACUGGAAGGCGCCGACCUCACCGAGGAUGGUGAGGCCCUCGGCGUCUCAACAGAAGAACAGCUGCAGCUGCGCGCCCUGCGCCUCAGGAACCGCAAUCUCCAGAGGCAGAAAGAGAUACUGGAGGCCAAGCGCCAACGUGUUUCCGCAUUAGCCAAAGUGCGGCAAAUGAUACGCGACGAGGAGCAGAAAGCCCAAGACCUCGAGCGCGAGAUCGCGCUGAUGCAGCGCGAAGGCCACCUCGGUUUGCAGCAAGAACCACCCCUCCAACAACGCGCUCAGCCGGAGGACAUGCGCGAAGGCUACCUCGGCCGACAGCACGGCCAACCCCUGCAGCACCGGGCGCAGCCGGAGAACCCGCGUUUCCCCCAGCAUGACUACGCCCCCCAGCACGGCGCGCCAUUCCAAGGGAUCAACUACCUCGACGAGCGAAGUCCCCUGGCGCCACACCUGCAAGUGACGCCUUGGCCAGCCAACUUUCGAGCGGGGGCAUACCCCAAGUACAACGGCAGCACCGAUCCGGCGCAAUACAUCAUGAGUUACCAAGUCGCCGUUGCAUCAGCCGGAGGGGACGACGCCACAAUGGCAAAGUCUUUCAUCAUCGCCCUAGAGGGCCCAGCACUCACCUGGUUCACCAGAUUGCCCCCGCUGUCCAUUGAUUCGUGGCGAAGUCUCAGGGACAAGUUCCUCCUCAACUUCCAAGGGUACCGUCCAGACACCGACGCUUUGGCCGAGCUCUCGCUUUGCAAACAGCUGGAAAAGGAGACUCUGCGGGAGUAUUACCGCAAGUUCUUAACACUCAAGUCACAGCUGCCCUCUGUCGACGAUCAGAUCGCUAUCCACUACGCCAUCAAUGGCCUUCGGGCCGGCGUCCUCUACAGCCAUUGUAUCAGGGAUCCACCCAAGAGCUUGCAGGAGCUAUAUCAGCUCUUCGAAAAAUAUGCCAAAUCCGAAGAGCUCCACCAGCGCAAGGUCGAGUCGCAACGGAAACCCAACAGUCAGACUCCGCAGUCCAGCCGCACGUGGACAAGGACUUCGCAGCCAGACUCUAGUCGAGACAGCCGCAGUCAGCAGCAAGUCCACAACAUCGUCAACCAACAGCCUGCUGCUGACCCCCUCGCCGCCAGGAAUAUCCCCCCCAAGGCCGCGGAAAUGGAACGCGCGGCAGGGGUCGAGGGCGGGCGCAGCAGCCGCCGCGCCGGUUCUAUUGCCUUUUCCACGGCGAAGACUGCGCCCACCAGACCAAAGACUGCCCCGAGACGAAGGCCACCAGAGAUAGAAUGGCGAGGGCGCAGCCGGCCGACAAUCCCAGAAUUGUCGCGCAUAACUACCAGCCACCCCCUCCACCAUACGUCCACGCCCCCGCUCCGCAUCCACCGCACCACGCUUACCAACAUCAUCAGGAAGUACAAAUCGUACCUCCUCCACCCCCACCACCACACCAGCAACACCAAAACAUUCCCCAUCCCCCAAAGCAAGAAGACUUCGCCGAUCAACCUUAUCGCGGAGUCAUUCACAUGAUAACAGGGGGGUCAAGCACCGACUUCGACACCAAGCGGCAGAAGCGGGACCACUACCGCAGCAUCAACCAUGUCGCCGUCACUGGCCCAGUCGUGCAGACGAAGUGGUCCCACAUACCGCUAACCUUCGACGCGCGAGACGUCGACCUGCGCAGCGCCCCCCACAUCGACGCAAUGGUCAUCAACUGCAGCGUGGCAGGUUGGGACUUACACAAAGUCCUUGUCGACAACGGCAGUCAGGCGGACAUCAUCUUCCUCCACGCCUUCGACCGCAUGGGUAUAAGCCACAGCUUGCUGAAGCCUUCGGACAACCCGUUGUAUGGUUUCGGCGGCAAGGGCACCUUUCCAGUUGGCAAGAUAGAGUUGCCCCUCUCCUUCGGUGUAGCACCCAAUGCCCGAAGUGAGCAAAUAACCUUCGACAUUGUCGGCAUGGUAUAUCCAUACAACGCCAUCAUGGGCCGAGGCUCCAUCAACAAAUUCGAAGCCGCCAUCCACGGGUUGUACCUAUGUAUGAAGAUACCAGGCCCGCUGGGCGCCAUCACAAUCUACGGCAACCAGCAGACGGCGCGCAACAUAGAGCGGGACUUCGUGCCCGGUCAGAGAAAUGUACACUGUCUCACGACCCAGCGCGAAGUCCCUGCGCCGGCUAGCCCAACCGACAAGCAGCACGACAAGGCACAGUUGCAGUGCCAAGACGGGACCAAGACUGUCCCCCUCGAUCAGGCCACGCCCAAGCAGACUGUAACUAUCAGCGAAGACCUCACGUCACUUGAAGAAGAGAAACUUCUCUGCUGCCUGGCCAAGAAUAAAGAUGUCUUCGCCUGGUCUGCCCUCGAUCUGGUCGGAGUCAGCCGAGCCAUAAUCGAACACAGCCUGGGGAUUGACCCUUCGGUGCGACCCAAAAAGCAGAAGCUUCGCAAGAUGUCAGAUGAAAAGACAGAAGCCGCCAAGGCGGAGGUGCAUCGCCUCCUGGAGGCUAAAUUCAUCGAGCCGGUGGCUUACCCCACGUGGCUCUCCAAUGUUGUGAUGGUGCAGAAGAAAAGCGGAAAAUGGCGCAUGUGCAUAGACUUCACCAGUCUCAAUAAGUCCUGCCCAAAGGACAAUUUCCCGUUGCCACGGAUCGACAAAAUAGUCGAUAGCGCGGCCGGAUGCGAGGUCAUGUCCCUCCUCGACUGCUUCUCCGGCUAUCACCAGAUAUACAUGAAGGAGGAAGACAAGGCCAGCACCAGCUUUAUAACACCCUUCGGCACUUAUUGCUUUGUCAGAAUGCCGGAGGGUCUCAAGAAUGCCGGGUCCACCUUCUCCAGACUCACCAAAACGGUGCUCGAAGGGCAGGUCGGCAGAAAUGUAUUCACAUAUGUGGACGACAUCGUCGUCGCCAGCAAAAAUAAGGAGGACCACCUCGCCGACCUGGCGGAAACAUUCGCGAGCAUGCGAGAUGCACGACUCCGCCUAAACCCGGAAAAGUGCGUUUUCGGUGUCCGCCAGGGCAAGAUAUUGGGCUACCUGGUGUCCCGCCGAGGCAUCGAGGCCAACCCAACCAAGAUCCAGGCCAUCGUCGAUAUGUCGCCUCCGCAGUCCGCCAGGGACGUCCAGCGCCUGACAGGCAGGAUGGCCGCCCUCAAUAGAUUCAUCUCCAGGUCCGCCGAGCGAAGUCUCCCCUUCCUCAAAACCCUCCGCGGCGCGAAGGACUUCGCUUGGGGACCGGAGCAAGCAGCGGCCUUCGCCUCAUUAAAACAGUACCUGGCGGAGCUGGCCAUCCUCACAAGCCCAGACUCCUCGCUCCCCUUAUUGCUCUAUGUCGCGGCUUCGCCGCACGCGGUCAGCGCGGCACUAGUGCAGGAGCAGACAGUCGAAGGCGCAGUCAGACAGUGCCCUGUUUAUUAUGUCUCCGAAGUCCUGACACCAUCCAAAUGCAACAUGACAGAGCUGGAGAAGAUUGCUUACGCAGUUGUUAUGUCCUCGCGCAAGCUGCGCCAUUAUUUUGAAGCAUUCAAGGUCCGAGUCACCUCGGACAGGGGACUCGGCGAACUAUUCAGGAACCCGGAGGCAUCAGUGAGAAUCGCCAAGUGGGCAGCCGAGCUCUCCGGCUACCACAUCAGCUUCGAGCCCAGGACAGCCAUCAAAUCGCAAGUCCUGGCAGACUUCGUCGUCGACUGGACUGGGCCAGUAACACAGCCGGACCCAUCCACAGAAAAGGUCUGGACUAUCCAUUGCGACGGUGCAUGGUGUCAUGCGGGGGCAGGCGUCGCUGCAGUCAUCACCUCACCAGCCGGAGUCAAACACAGAUAUGCAGCACGCCUCAGCUUCGCUCUGGAAUCCGACAAAUGUACAAACAACAUAGCAGAGUAUGAAGCAGUCAUCCUCGGCCUCCGCAAGCUAAGGGCCCUCGGAGUCACCACAUGUAUCAUCAAAACAGACUCCAAGAUAGUCGCCGGUCAGGUCGAAAAAGACUAUGCAGCAAAAGACCCCGCGCUCAUGCAAUACCUCGCGGCUAUCCGAAGUCUCGAGAGGCAGUUCAAGGGAUUCACCCUACAGCAUGUGGACAGGGCCAAGAAUGAGGAGGCCGAUGCAUUAGCCAAGGCCGCCGCCAGGGGCGAGCCCCUGCCCUCCGACGUAUUCUUUCACACCAUCGGCACGCCAGCCGUCCGGAGCCCCGAAGGGCUCCAAAUAACAAAUGAUAGCGAGGGCCACCGUAUAGUCCACCUAAUCAUGACCGAAGACUGGCGGGCCCCAAUAACCCUGUUUCUACAGGGAUACUAUCACCCAACCGACGUCAGUGAGGCGAAGCGCCUCGAGCAUCGGAGCCGGGACUUCGCGCUAAUCGAGGGCCAAUUAUACAAGAAGGGGGUCAGUCAGCCAAUGCUUAAAUGCGUCACCGAAACCGAAGGCAUCCAAAUCUUGCGCGAGGUCCACAGUGGAACUUGCGGCUCGCACGCGGGGCCAAGGGCCCUGGCUGCUAAGGUGAUCCGACAAGGGUUUUACUGGCCUGCAAUGAUCUGCGCCGCAAAUCGAGUCGCAAGGUCCUGCGAAGCCUGCCAGAAGUUCUCUCCUCGGUCAGGCAACCCCUCGCAAUACACAAAGCUGGUCGCCCAUACAUGGCCUCUUCAGCGCUGGGGCCUGGACAUCGUCGGGCCCUUGCCCACCGCUCAGGGGAACCUCAAGUUCGCCUUCGUAGCCGUCGAAUACUUCACCAAGUGGAUUGAAGCGAGGGCUGUGUCCACAAUCACAUCAAAGACUGCCCAAAAAUUCUUUUGGCAGAACAUUGUUUGCCGCUUCGGAGUACCGUCCGAGCUAACAGUUGACAACGGCAAGCAGUUUGACAAUCAAGAUUUCAAGGAUUUCUGUUUUUCCAUUGGCACCAAGCUUGCCUUCGCUUCAGUCUAUCAUCCGCAGUCCAACGGAGUCGUGGAGCGUGCCAAUGGGAAAAUCUUCACAGCCAUCAAGAAGAUGCUCCUCGACGAGAAAAAGGGCAGAUGGACCGACUUGCUACCGGAGGCAGUCUGGGCGCUGAACACAACCGAGUGCAGGGCGACCGGGUUCACUCCUUUCCGCCUUCUAUACGGAUCAGAGGCAAUGACCCCGCAAGAAAUAAAACACGGGUCUCCGCGCACAGCUCCGUCAGCCACCCUGACGUGGAUGAGCCAACCUCCAAAGAUCUCAUUGACGGAGACCGGGUCUUCGCCCUGCAGGCCUUAAACAAAUACCAAGCCCAGACCAAAGCAUGGCGCGACCGCGCAGUCAUCCCAAAGGAGUUCAGCGCGGGGGACCUCGUACUCAUCUGAACAGCUCGGACGGAGUCCAAGGGCAAGCUGGAGCCCAAGUGGGAGGGCCCCUUCAUAGUCAAGACAAAAGCUUCCCCAGCGCUUACAGGCUCGCAACGCCAGAUGGCGAGGACCUGGAGCACUCCUGGAACAUUGACAACCUUCGUAAAUUUUUUGUUUAAUUCCUAGGGCCGAGUUCGCCCUUGUAAUUCACCGCAAACAAUCUUGUACCGGCCCGCACUCUUUUCCUCCCGGGGGUGAGGUUUUUAACGAGGCGGAGCCAUGUAAUAUAUGUGAGAAAAAUCCCCCGCAAAAGCAUGUGUCGAAAAAAGACCGCGACAACGGUCUUCGGCAUUCGACCAAUUCGAAGUCACCGCGAGGCUAAGCGCUAGCCACCCUCGCGUGCGACCAAUCCGCGCAGAAGUCGCCUAAGGGUGCAGCCGGACUUAGCACAACAAGUGCGCAAAAAUCAAAGUCUAUCGCGAAGACUAUCCGCGCAGAAGUCGCCUAAGGGUGCAGCCGGACUUAGCACAACAAGUGCGCAAAAAUCAAAGUCUAUCGCGAAGACUAUCCGCGCAGAAGUCGCCUAAGGGUGCAGCCGGACUUAGCACAACAAGUGCGCAAAAAUCAAAGUCUAUCGCGAAGACUAUCCGCGCAGAAGUCGCCUAAGGGUGCAGCCGGACUUAGCACAACAAGUGCGCAAAAAUCAAAGUCUAUCGCGAAGACUAUCCGCGCAGAAGUCGCCUAAGGGUGCAGCCGGACUUAGCACAACAAGUGCGCAAAAAUCAAAGUCUAUCGCGAAGACUAUCCGCGCAGAAGUCGCCUAAGGGUGCAGCCGGACUUAGCACAACAAGUGCGCAAGAAUCGAAGUCUAUCGCGAAGACUAUCCGCGCAGAAGUCACCCAAGGGUGCAGCCGGACUUAGCUCCACAAGUGCGCAAAAAUCAAAGUCUAUCGCGAAGGCUUUUCGCGCAGAAGUCGCCUAAAAGGCGCAGCCGGAGCCUACCGCAAAAACCGCCCAAGGGCGCAGCCGACCCAGUAUGGCAAAAGCAGAAGCGACAGCAAGACCAAUUAUAAUCACACUGGCACAGCACAAUCAAUCACACCAGUCAAAGUACACAGCGCCCUCGCAGGCACAAGCACGCGAGGGCACACUACUCCAUUUUACAAACCCUUGCACAUACACAAGCGAGGGCACCACGCCCUACAUCGGCUCAACCUUAGGAAUAAUCCCCAUCUCUCUAUAAUUAAAUAACAUUAUCCUAAGCUCCUCACCAGCAAAAAGGCUUCGCAGCUCCCCUUCCCCCACACCCGAGACGGCCGGCAAAGACAGUAGCUCCUGCCGACCAACCCUACUAACGCGAAGCCGAGCCCCUUCCUCCGCACUAAUCCUACGCUUCGCAACCGCCCUUCGUCGUCGGUGCCCGGUGCUAGGACCGGGCACGCCUGGCGCGUCCGCAGCAUGUAGCGCAGCCUCCGCCGCAGCCUCGUCCAGGGCCGCAAAAUAGUCCAAGUCCUCCUCCGACGACUCCUCGGUCCAUUCAGCCGAGCUCCCAGAGUCAGUAAAAUCAAAAAACUCAGAAACAGACCCACCACAUUCAUUUCCACCUUCCGCGGUCGAAGCCGCCAAAAAACCAGUAGUAGCGGUUGCGUGCGCAGGCCCAAAAUCUUGAACCUGCGCAGCAACCAAAAUUCAGUACAUCAUCCAAAAAUCCCUCAACCCUAAACACCACCUACGCCACCUGCGAAGGCCCUGCCGCUGCGGGAGCCUCCGCCGCCGCCUCCGCCGUUGUCUCCGCUGGAUCUUCAGCGCCCGGCACAGCAGCUGCGGGGGCAUCAGACGCGCCUUCGGCCACCCUUGGGAGUAGGCCUUCGCCGGCCGCAGCAGGUACAAGGGCGCCUGGUGCAUCUUCCGCGGUCACCGGGGCGACUCCAGUGGCGGCCUCCGCAGGGGUGGUCUCCGGCUCAGGCGGCGCGCUGUUCAGCGCCCCAAAAUCGUCCACCCGCUCGCCGCGCUCCGCCUAAGACAAAACGUACAAAAAUUCAGCAAACACACGCACAAACCGCAUCCAGCAAGCACCGAGUAAACGACAACGUUACCUGAGCCCUUGCAGCCUCGGCCCGCGCCCGGACCACCUCUCGACCGUAUGAACCCCACAUCCGGUCAUAGAGGGCCCCGGCGGACUCCUUCACCACGGGGUCUUCGACCUCAAAGAUAUCUCGCCCAAAAUCUUCAUCCACCUGGUCGAGGGCCUCAAAGUGCCGGCAGCCUUCGCGAGAGAGCGCGUUCAUCGCUGCCUCGCAGGUGACCAGGGAGGUGAACGACAUCAACCCCGCCAAGACAGUGGGGAGCUCCUGCAGUUCCUCCUGCACCCACUCCAGACAGCGAAGUCCGGCCUCUCGCUCCGGCACCUCGAAGUCGCUCGUCCGCACACCCAGCUCGCGAUAUGAAGUCAUGAGCUGCGUGCGCGUCCGUUCGGCCUCCGCUCGCGCCGCGGCCUCGGCCCCCUCCGCGCGGCUCUCGAAGGCAGCAAGCCGCCGCUGCAGCUCCCGGCGAGCUCCUUGGCGACAUUGCCCUCCGCCCGCGCCAGCCUGGCCUCCGCCUGUGCAGACUGCUCCUUGGCGAUGGCUUCGUUGGCCUCCUUCUCUCCUCCAUCAGCUGGCGCCGGAGGUCUGCCUUCUCCUUCUCAAGGGCGGCCACCUUCUCCGCCAGCUUGCGGCACUUGCUGUCGGAGGCCGACUUCUCACGGACAGCGUCCGCGUGCUGCGUCCGAAGUCUCUCGACCUCGGCAGACAACGUCGCCGUAAGGGCCCCCGACGCAGUACGGCUGGUGAAGUCAGCCACCUGCAGAACACACAUAAGGCCCGUGUUAAAAAAAAAAAAGCUCGGCAGACCUGACUCAGCGCCUCCAUUGCUCCUUUCAGCCGGCGGGUCGCCGCGUCCGCCUCGUCUCUGACCAACGCGAGGGCAGUCACCUCGCCUCCAGCGCCAAGGGUCUCUACCCCGCCUUCGGCGCUGGCGCAGCCGUCGCGACCGCCGCGCCAGGCACAACUAGAGCGAGCGGGCCCUCGUCCAACCCUGCAACGCAUCAACAGAUUUAAAAAAAAAUGUGUAUACAUAUAGACUCACCCCAAGAUAAUCCUCCACAUCAAUCUCAGUGCCGAAGUCGGCAACGCGUUUGCCGGGCGGCGGUAGCGAUCGGGCCGCCUUCGCAGCCUCCGCCACUCCGCUGGCGGACGGCACCACCUUCGACAGCUUGGGCCUCCGGCGCCCACCGUCGCCUCCGGCGCCUUGCCAGGCGCGGAGGCACCCGCCUUCGCCGGCAAUGGCGGCUUGCCUCCGCCGGAGGCCUCAGCCUUCGAUGCUCCCGCUGCCUUUCGGCCGGGCUUCAUGAACCCUCACGGUCGCCUGGCGUUUCCGCGCCGCCGCUUGGCGAUCCUUGUCCAUCACUGCCCACACAACAUGACCGAUAUUUCGCCCAUAAGGAAAAACUUUCCACCGACGAGCCAUACGAGAUGUAAAACAGUCCUCUUCAUCCCAGGGAUAGGAAUGUUUUUAGGCCAGCAACCCCGGUAACCCUCAGCAUCCGAGCCGAAGACUCCCGGAGCUCGGGCGAAGACAUCCUCUCCCCGGGGCCGCACACGUCCUCAUUACUCUCUAGCGAAACUAUCAGACACCCCCAAGCCCUCCCAUCGCAGUACUAAUUUUCUCUUUUUCGAAGAGGUGCGGCCGCCAGCGCAGGGUCGCCUCCGGCUCCACCGCCGGUUUCUUCCCGCGGCGGUCUGCUUCGUCCUGACCAGGGUAGCCGUCGUACGGCAGUUGAUUUAAUUCAAAGACCCUGUUCAAGCGAUCGUUUGACCACGGAUAUCAAAACUGCGCUGGCCUUCCGUCUUCGCACGUAGCGCCCCACGAGUCGCACCGCCAAGUCUUCUGCAUCACGCACGAAGGCGGCCGGGUCACGGUUCCGCAAACUCAGUGCGAAGGCAGGACUUCGCACCUCCUUCCUCCGUGAAAGGGCAUCUGGCGAGGGCAUACUUCGCCCAGCGCCCAGCCGUGCGCCAAGGGCCAGACCCCGUACGCGCAAACUCUUCAACCAAAUCACGCCCGCUGCUCUGACCGGCGGCGUACCGAAGGGCCCCUUCGUCUGUAUCUCUCUGCCACUUCGAAAGGCGGAUACGCAGAGUAAUAGUGGAAACACAUUUCGGACACGGGGAGCCCUUGAUGGCCUUCGACAGUAGCCUCAGCAACAUAAAACCAAAACUCAUUCCAACUGCCCCACUUAUUGCGGGCGCACGGGACCAACUCCACUACUGGCAUCGUGGUCUUGCCGGUCUUCGGCGUGAAAGUGCACGACCCGAACUGCGCAACUCCGCCCUCAACCACCCUUUUCUGCCAUGCAAGCAAUAAUUCUUCGCGAAAACUUCAACCGACGGCUGCCCGCGUACGAAGUCGUCGCCCAGACAUACUUCGCCAGCGCCACUAUGGCGUUCGGCGUAAGCUGAUGUAUUUGAACACUGAAUCUGCGCAGGACUUCGCUGACAAACCGGUGCGCAGGCAGCGGAGUCGGCGGCGAGAACGCCUCGAAAACAACCAACUCGCCUCCGGCUCGGGGACUUCCUCCGUCCCCGGAGCACGAGCGACUCCGCCGCCAAAGUAGCCCAACCGCUGCAUAUCUUCAUACGGCCUGACGUCAUCCGUGACACACCGAAUUCAACAGAGUCGCCGGCGCGCAACUCUUCCACCAUCGCGUUACUCAACGUCUCCUCAGACGAGGCGCGCGGCGGCGUGGCGGUGGCGGAAGAAGAAGAGGAUGGCAUGGCUACGUACCGUCGGCGGCGGCGGGUUUGCUUCACUCGAGCCAGAACGACGGCGAGCAAAGGAGCAGCGGAGGAAAAGGAGCAGCAAGACGGCGGGCGGCUAGGUUUUACGGAGCGCGGAAAGCAGAAUUCAAACAGCGCGCCCCCGCCCCCUUUUAUAGGCAGGGCGCGGCUCCUCGGGAAACCCACAACCCGACAGGCCGCGACGCUUCGGGAAACCCGCAAUCCAACAGUACGCCGUCCAUCAACGGUCACAUCAAAAACCCCCGCGGAACCACUUCGAGCGAGGCAGCGUCUCCGCCAUCUAGCGACGUCUUCGGCACCAGGUGACUUUGUCGAACUGGUCCCUCGGAGGGCAAAUGUUGGAGCGAAGGCAAAGACGCCACCCUUCGCUCGAGGCCUUCGCUGCAGCCGCUGGUCCGCCGGAGGCAAAGCGGGCAGGGACACCCUUCGCAGGACUCGGCGCUUUGACGAAGGCCUGCGGCGACGACCUCACACGGCCGGCCUCGUUCAGCCCCAAGGCCCACGUGUGAUCCGGCCCAUUGUAACGGGCCCCGCGUGGCCGCCUCUGUAUUACGGGCCUGACUUGUAAAGGCAAACUUGUAAUUACAGCUUGUAACCCUGCUUUAUGGGAAUAUUCCGGGGAUAAACUAGGCGUCUGAGGGCACAUGCGUCCUUAACACAAGACGCUGGGCACUCAGACACCUAUAAAUACCCCGCACAGUGCCCGUGAGAGGCUAGAUCAACAGAGCUAUUGCCCCCGUGCACGAACCCUGUUGUCGCCAUUGUUCACCCCCGUUGGCCCACUUGCAGCAGAGAGCAAGUUCCAACUAUGGCGUCCCUGNNNNNNNNNNNNNNNNNNNNNNNNNNNNNNNNNNNNNNNNNNNNNNNNNNNNNNNNNNNNNNNNNNNNNNNNNNNNNNNNNNNNNNNNNNNNNNNNNNNNUUCCUCCAACGACGAGGCGGAAAGACGGCGGUAUCCCCAUCCGGGGCUUGAAGGUGGAAAGACACGAUGCAGAAGGACGCGAAGACAUGUCGCCUCCCAAGGGGUCACCCUCCUUUUAAAGGCGACUCUCCCUACUUGCUUCCCCAGCCUCGUGGGCUGAGUCUGCUCAACACGCUCCAAGGUCCUCCCCUACGGUGCGGGGCUGGGUCCCACACGUCAUGGCAAGAACCGGUCCAGAGCAGAAGAAGCCAAACCGCCGGCGCGUGCGUGCAACCGCCCAGCGGUUACAAGCGGCUCUCCACUUUUGCCCAGACCAGCAGGCGAAAAGGCGGGCAGCCAGCAGGCGGCAUACAACGGCGCCAAGGGGCGCCUUCUCCGACUCCCAACAUGCCCAGCAUGGAGGCCCAGGCCACGCGUCGCAACCGCGCGCCGAAUGCUUCGUGCAUGCGACUGCACCGCCACUUGCGCCACCACCGCGCCUCCUCGACUGCGGAACCAAUACCGCGACUCGAGGCACCCAACGCACGACCCAGCACGCCAGCCUGGCGACGGUCAAGUGGCCAAAAGUGCGCGCAGUAAUGCGUGCAGCGGGCAGGAGCAGCGUCACGUCGUCAGCCAAGCUAGUCCCAUCCGGCAGCGAGAGAACCCUCUCUCACAGCGUGAAGACGACGCGUCCGUGUUCCGUUCCUCGAACGGCUCGCGCACGCGUGACGCCGCCCCGCAACCACUCGCCCCAUCGCAUUAACUCCGCGGCGGGACAGGCGGCGCCUCCGCAGGAGAAGCAAGCGACGCUUCGCCUUCGCCAUAAUGACCGCGUCAAAAAAAGUACGCUGCGUCGUUCGAUUUCAUAUCCUUUCCUUUUUCCUCUUUCUCUCUCUGCAACGGACCGGAAAGGGGGAUACCCCGAAAAGAUCCUUCCCCGUGAAGAACCAGGCUCCGAGCCUCCCUACUGAUCAGAGGUUCGAAGGCUGGCCCUCAGAGGUCAACAGCCGCCUCAGAGCACUGGGCUCCACACCCACACUGUCAGAGGUUCGAAGGCGGCCCUCGAAGGGUUCAACGGCCGCCUCAGGCUACUCAGCUCCCGCCCACUACUAUCAGGGGUUCGAAGGCUGGCCCCGAAGGGUUCACAGCCGCCUCAGACACAGACGAGGAUGACCAUGGGUACGUCGAUACAUAACCAAGGCUCGGGCUGCGCUCCCGAGGUACCCUAGGACAUUUCCGAGACCAGCGGGAACGAUCUGUAACAAAUCCCAUCAGGGAGGCAUCGAGCCUCGGACCCAUCGCCAGGGACUGGGUCCGGCAGAUCACCCGCAGGUACUUUUGGGCGCGCCUCUGGGCCUCUAGCCGACCCCUAACGAACGGGGCACGGACGUCCACUCGGAUCACCCGCCUGCAGCUCACCGGAGGAACACCAUGUUCGGCGCCCACGAGGGCAACAUUGGCGCUCUCCCCCCCCCCCUCCUCCUUCGGAAAGGCGACGCAGGGGCGUAUGUAAAAAGUCGAGUCUGUCCCUGAUCCCUCUCGCCCUGUGCAGAGGCUCGGGGCUGCUCUCGCAAACCCGCUCCGGCCAACCGUUGACAGGUCAACAUACCAGCCCGAGAACUUGGACCGACCGUCACCCGGCUACGGCCAGCUCGCAUGAGGAACGACCAGACCAGCCGAAGCAUUGCGCGAGGCAUUAAGCCUCGGAGGAGUCAAACCACUCCUCCGAGGCCUCGGGGGCUACACCCGGCGGUGCGCUCGGCGCACCCACUGGAACAAAACGCAACGAGAAAGGCUGGUCCCCAUGCAAAAAAGUGCGACGAAAGCCUCCAAGCGAGUGCUAACACUCCCUUCGAGGCUGGGGCUACUGUCGGGGACCAUAAUUAGGGGUACCCUCAAGGCUCCAAUCUCAGCUGGUAACCCCCAUCAGCAUAAAGCUGCAAAGGCCUGAUGGGUGCGAUUAAGUCAGGGAUCAGUCCAUUCGAGGGACUCGAUCACGCCUUACCCGAGCCUAGCCUCAGACAAGGGCAGCCGACCCGGAGGAUCUCCGCCUCGCCCGAGGCCCCCUCCAGCGGCGAACAUAUUUCCGGCUCGCCCGAGGCCCUGUCUUCGCCAAGAAGCAACCCUGACCAAAUCGCCGCACCGCCGACCAAAUCCAGGAGCAUUUAAUGCAAGGUGGCCUGACACCUUUAUCCUGAGCGCGCCCCUCAGCCGACAGAGCCGAAGUGACCGCCGUCACUUCGCCGCUCCACUUGACCGGCCUACGAAAGACAGCGCCGCUGCGUCCGCUACCGACUGCGAUGCCACUGACAGAGUGAGGCUGACAGGCAGUCAGGCCCGGCCGCAGGCACCAUAGAAGCUCCGCUCCGCCCGACCCAGGGCUCGGACUCGGGCUAAGCCCCGGAAGACGGCGAACUCCGCUCCGCCCGACCCAGGGCUCGGACUCGGGCUAAGCCCCGGAAGACGGUGAACUCCGCUCCGCCCGACCCAGGGCUCGGACUCGGGCUAAGCCCCGGAAGACGGCGAACCUCUCCGCCUGACCCAGGGCUCGGACUCGGGCUAAGCCCGGAAGACGGCGAACUCCGCUCGCCCGACCCAGGCUCGGACUUGGGCUCAGCCCCAGAAGACGACAAUUCCGCUCCGCCCGACCCAGGGCUCGGACUCGGGCUAAGCCCCGAAAGACGGCAACUCCGCUCCGCCCGACGAGGGCUCAACUUGGCUCAGCCCCAGAAGACGACAAACUCCGCUUCGCCCGACCCCAGAACUCGAACUCCGCCCUGGCCUCACCAACGGCUCCGCCUCGCCCGACCUAGGGGCUCGGACUCGACCUCGACCUCGGAGGAGCCUCCACAUCGCCCAACCUAGGGCGCGGGCCGGCCACGUCAACGGGAGGCGCCAUCAUUACCCAACUCCAAGCUGACUCAGGCUACGGGGAACAAGACCGGCGUCCAUCUGGCUCGCUCCGCCAGAUAGGCAAUGAUGCGCCCCGCACGCUCCCUGACAAUGGCGGCUCUCGGCCCCCUUACGGAAGCAAGAGGACGUCAGCAAGGACUCGACAGCCCCGACAGCUGUCCCUCCGCCAGCUCUAGCGCUCCUCCGACGGCCACGACAUCACACAAACCGGGCGCCAAAACCUCUCCGGCCCCACGAUGGCAUGUACUUAGGGCGCUAGCUCUCCUCCGCUAGACACGUAGCACUCUGCUACACCCCCAUGUACAC
rnacentral:lncRNA from 1 species